GGCCAGGUAGCUCAGUUGGUACGAGCGUCCGCCUGAAAAGCGGAAGGUCGCCGGUUCGAUCCCGGCCCUGGCCACGA
rnacentral:tRNA from 4 species